UGGGAUAGCUCAGUUGGCAAAGCAUGAGACUUAAUCUCGGGGUCAUGGGUUCGAAACCUGGGUUGGGCAAAA